AAUGGGCGCAAGCCUGAUCCAGCCAUGCCGCGUGAGUGAUGAAGGCCCUAGGGUCGUAAAGCUCCUUCGCCUGUGAAGAUAAUGACGGUAGCAGGUAAAGAAACCCCGGCUAACUCCGUGCCAGCAGCCGCGGUAAUACGGAGGGGGUUAGCGUUGUUCGGAAUUACUGGGCGUAAAGCGCGCGUAGGCGGAUUAGUCAGUCAGAGGUGAAAUCCCAGGGCUCAACCCUGGAACUGCCUUUGAUACUGCUAGUCUUGAGUUCGAGAGAGGUAAGUGGAAUUCCGAGUGUAGAGGUGAAAUUCGUAGAUAUUCGGAGGAACACCAGUGGCGAAGGCGGCUUACUGGCUCGAUACUGACGCUGAGGUGCGAAAGUGUGGGGAGCAAACAGGAUU
rnacentral:rRNA from 1 species